rnacentral:misc_RNA from 1 species
CACGCCGCCGAAGGACUGUUACAAAGGGUGAAGACAUACGUUAUGACAUCACUUUAGAAUUUUCUGAGUCUAUAUUUGGAUCUGAAAAGGAAUUUGAGCUUUCUCAUUUGGAAACUUGUGAAAUUUGUACUGGUACUGGAGCAAAGAUGGGCUCCAAGAUGAGAAUAUGCUCCACAUGUGGUGGCAGGGGUCAAGUUGUGAGAACAAGCCAAAGGGUGUUUGCUC